GUCUACAGCUAUACUACCCUGAACAUUCCCUAUCUCUUCUGAUCGCAGAAGCUAAUCAGGGUCAGGCCUGGUUAGUACUUGGAUGGGAGAGAGGAAGAAAGAAGCCAACAACAGGGGAAUUGGACC
rnacentral:rRNA from 1 species